rnacentral:other from 1 species
GGCGGACUGCGCGGCGCGACAGGGACGACUUAUUCCCCGGGGCCUUACGCAUCCCUGAGGGAGCUGUCCCUGACCCGGCCCCUGGGCCGGGACACACGGCGCCCACCUACUCUGUAGGUUCCCGGGAUCGACUGUUUCCAUCGGCCGAGGUGGUCCGCCG